CCUACGGGUGGCAGCAGUGGGGAAUAUUGCGCAAUGGGCGAAAGCCUGACGCAGCGACGCCGCGUGAGGGAUGAAGGUCUUCGGAUCGUAAACCUCUGUCAGCAGGGAAGAACGGUCACUGUGCUAAUCAGCAGUGAAUUGACGGUACCUGCAAAGGAAGCACCGGCUAACUCCGUGCCAGCAGCCGCGGUAAUACGGAGGGUGCGAGCGUUAAUCGGAAUUACUGGGCGUAAAGCGCUCGUAGGCGGGAGGUCAAGUCAAGGGUGAAAUCCCCGCGCUCAACGUGGGAACUGCCUUUGAAACUGGCAAACUGGGGUGUGUGAGAGGAUAGUGGAAUUCCAGGUGUAGGAGUGAAAUCCGUAGAUAUCUGGAGGAACAUCAGUGGCGAAGGCGACUAUCUGGCACAUAACUGACGCUGAGGAGCGAAAGCGUGGGUAGCAAACAGGAUUAGAUACCCUGGUAGUC
rnacentral:rRNA from 1 species